GACCAGUUAAGCUGAGUUGGAGCUGGAGUGCAGGGUCAUAGGAGUGGUGCUAACUCCUGCAGUAAGCCCCUGGAAUAAGGGGCUAGGCUCUAAGGUGACAGUCCUGGGGCUAGUGUUCCACUCAAGGAACAGGGAAGUGAAGAGAAGCCCAGGAGGGGUGGAAGACUAGUGUGCAAUAUGUUGUACUUGGACUCCCAGCAGGGAAAAGCCUCUGAAGUCAGUGCUCUGAUAAGAGUGAGAGGCAUCGAGAGUUGAGCCCCGAAGGAGUGAAAGACUUUUUGUUGGUUAACUUGGGACUAUCAUCAAAGGCGGUGUUUAUUUUGGGACUUUGGGUGCCCUGAGGGGACUGAACUCUUAAGUAAGCUGGCUUGAGGAUUAGGCCAUAGAAGACCCAGAUGGAGGUGACCAACAGGAUGGGGAAAACAAGGCAAAGGCCCAGCAACCCCACAUCAGCCAGUGAAUUACUUCUAUGCAGCCAGCUCUGGACAGAUGGGUCAGAAUCAGACACAAUCUUGCCAUCAAGACUGGUUGCUCCUCUUCAUUGAGAGGCAGCUGGAGUGAAGAACUUCCUUAUCUCCAGGAACUUUGAAGAACUGUCUCAGGUUUCUCCGGUCCUUCCACAAGGCUGGGUUCCCACUGCAAGAGAGAGAAACCCAGCCUUCUUUGCCUCUGUGUGGCAAUUACCAACUAGCAAAUAUUUUUUUCAUGUUAGCGUUGACAGAAAUAACUCCCAUAUCUGUAAAUCUGCAUGGAGUUCAACAGAGCUUAACUAUGCUGCUGUAGGGCUUCUUGAUGUAGAUGCAGCAGAAAUGCUCAUAAAACAGAGGCUGACAAAUUACAAGUACUAUGUAAAAUACUUUAAGGUUCCUAGAUCCAAACUGUAAAUAGCACUCUUGUUAUAAUGAUAUAUUGUAGAUCCACCCCUCUACUCCCUCCUAUAUCCCUUUCAACAAUACAAAUGAAAAGGGAUGGGAAAAGAAUGAUUGUCUGAUCUCAGCAUUUACUGUUGAGUUUUCCAUUCUCUAUUUUUGAAUUUUCAUCAAAGACGACAUGCUCCCCUUGAGAUUUAGCCCCAUUUAUCAGUACAGAGAGCAAAUAAAAUUGAUUUGUUUAGACUGUGA